rnacentral:rRNA from 1 species
UACGUAGGUGACAAGCGUUGUCCGGAUUUACUGGGCGUAAAGAGCUCGUAGGCGGUCUGUCGCGUCGGCUGUGAAAACCCGAGGCUCAACCUCGGGCCUGCAGUCGAUACGGGCAAACUAGAGUACUGCAGGGGAGACUGGAAUUCCUGGUGUAGCGGUGAAAUGCGCAGAUAUCAGGAGGAACACCGGUGGCGAAGGCGGGUCUCUGGGCAGUAACUGACGCUGAGGAGCGAAAGCGUGGGGAGCGAACAGG